GAUCCCUUAGCUCAGCGGUAGAGUGUGUGAUUCCAGCCCUGGAGCUUCCACAAGGCCAUCCGUUCAAAUCGGGUAGGGAUCA